GUGCCAGCAGCCGCGGUAAUACGGAGGGUGCGAGCGUUAAUCGGAAUUACUGGGCGUAAAGCGCACGUAGGCGGUAUGUUAAGCAAGAUGUGAAAGCCCAGAGCUCAACUCUGGAAUAGCAUUUUGAACUGGCAUGCUAGAGUUUUGGAGAGGGUGGUAGAAUUUCCAGUGUAGCGGUGAAAUGCGUAGAUAUUGGAAGGAAUACCAGUGGCGAAGGCGGCCACCUGGCCAAAAACUGACGCUGAGGAGCGAAAGCGUGGGUAGCGAACAGGAUUAGAUACCCUGGUAGUCC
rnacentral:rRNA from 1 species